rnacentral:rRNA from 1 species
AGUGAACGCUGGCGGCAGGCCUAACACAUGCAAGUCGAACGGCAGCACAGUAAGAGCUUGCUCUUACGGGUGGCGAGUGGCGGACGGGUGAGGAAUACAUCGGAAUCUACUUUUUCGUGGGUGAUAACGUAGGGAAACUUACGCUAAUACCGCAUACGACCUACGGGUGAAAGCAGUGGAUCUUCGGACCUUGCGCGAUUGAAUGAGCCGAUGUCGGAUUAGCUAGUUGGCGGGGUAAAGGCCCACCAAGGCGACGAUCCGUAGCUGAUCUGAGAGGAUGAUCGGCCACACUGGAACUGAGACACGGUCCAGACUCCUACGGGAGGCAGCAGUGGGGAAUAUUGGGCAAUGGGCGAAAGCCUGAUCGAGCCAUGCCGCGUGAGUGAAGAAGGCCUUCGGGUUGUAAAGCCCUUUUGUUGGGGAAGAAAAGCGGCAGGUGAAUACCCGGCUGUUCUGACGGUACCCAAAGAAUAAGCACCGGCUAACUUCGUG